UACGAAGGGGGCUAGCGUUGCUCGGAAUCACUGGGCGUAAAGGGCGCGCAGGCGGUCUUGAAAGUCAGGCGUGAAAGCCCCGGGCUUAACCUGGGAAUUGCGCUUGAUACUCUGAGACUGGAGUACGGGAGAGGAGAGUGGAAUUCCCAGUGUAGAGGUGAAAUUCGUAGAUAUUGGGAAGAACACCAGUGGCGAAGGCGGCUCUCUGGACCGUAACUGACGCUGAGGCGCGAAAGCGUGGGUAGCGAACGGG
rnacentral:rRNA from 1 species